UACGAAGGGGGCUAGCGUUGCUCGGAAUCACUGGGCGUAAAGGGUGCGUAGGCGGGUCUUUAAGUCAGGGGUGAAAUCCUGGAGCUCAACUCCAGAACUGCCUUUGAUACUGAAGAUUUGAGUUCGGGAGAGGUGAGUGGAACUGCGAGUGUAGAGGUGAAAUUCGUAGAUAUUCGCAAGAACACCAGUGGCGAAGGCGGCUCACUGGCCCGAUACUGACGCUGAGGCACGAAAGCGUGGGAGCAAACAGG
rnacentral:rRNA from 1 species